rfam:Ashbya gossypii ATCC 10895 chromosome V, complete sequence.
ACCGAUGAUGAGCUUUCAAACACUUUUCAAGCUAGAUAGUAUCUGAAUGUUUAAUGAUUUCGGUGUUAUAGAACAAUGGGAAUCUCUCUGAGC